rnacentral:tRNA from 1 species
GGAGAGGUGGCUGAGUGGACGAAGGCGCCCGCCUGGAGAGCGGGUAGGCAGGGAUAGAACCUGCCUCGUGGGUUCGAAUCCCACCCUCUCCGCCA